CCGGGCCGCCCCGCACCGCGUCCCCCUCCCCGCAUUCCCCGCGGCUGCCCCGCGUCCCGUCCUGUGACUCCGUGCCGGAGCCGGUGCUCGCCGCCCGCCUCCUCAGCCAUACUGGUGCGGGACUGGCGCGGUACUGGCGGCACUGGGCUCGCAGAACUUCUCAGCUGCGUUGCACUUCGAUUUGAGGCGCGUGUGGCCGCGCCGGGGAUGCGGCGCGCAAAGAACGCGACUGGCUGGGAGAGAGUUUAUUUUGUUUCUUUCUGCUCUUCCUUCCCCUCCCUCUCCCAGUUUAGCCCAGGAACUCCUGCAGCAUUGGUUAAUCCUCGAGGAGGGAGAACUGCUGAGAUCUUUAGCGAGCUCUCCCCUACCACGGAUACUUCCUAUAGCUCCAGCGUCUCUGUGAGGGAUGUACAGCUACGAGAUGUGAAGGUUAUGUAUCGUUACAGCAUAAAUUAUGGAAAGGGCUGGAAUUCCUGUUUGAGCAGCUUCAUGAAAAACUGAACUUUGACUGAACACAAACAGCAAAUAAAGCGGGAAACGAGAUAAAAAAUGAUGCAGGCCUUAGUUUCUUUGAAGGUGAAAUGACUGAUCCCAGGUGUCAGCACCUCAGAGACCCGCUCAGCCUUUUAUAGGACUCUUGGACAGUUUAUAGACACCAGCCGACACCUGUAAAGUUCACCUGAAGCUGUUCAGAAGUUUAAAACACCUCAUUGCAAUUUAUCUGGAACUAUUAAUGCACAAAAGGGCAAAAAUUGAUUAGAGUGGGUGAGGAACUCUUCUGUCCUGUCUUUAAAGAGUGGAUGUAAAUCUGUCAGCUUUUACAGCUGUCCUCACACUGCUUCAACUAAACAUAUAUUUGGAGAGGAGAUCUGGCAUUUCUCUCCCAGCCCAGAGUCCUGCUGCUCCUGGUGCCAGGUCCAGAGCAGGGAUAGGGUGUGAGGCAGCUUCUGCAGCAUCAGCAGCAUCAGGUUCAUCAACAUAAUCAGGAUUAUGAGGAUCAGCAUCUUCAUUCCUUCCCAAGAAAAGUACUGAUACCUCACCUGUGGCCAUGUGCUGUUUUUAAAUUUUAUUUAAUAAAUUCAAAUCAACAACAACAAAAAAAAAGAAA